rnacentral:rRNA from 1 species
ACUCAAAUGAAUUGACGGGGGCCCGCACAAGCGGCGGAGCAUGUGGCUUAAUUCGAUGCGACGCGAAGAACCUUACCUGGGCUUGACAUGCGGGGUGAAACCCUCGAAAGAGGGCGCUCUUCGGAGCCCGCACAGGUGGUGCAUGGCUGUCGUCAGCUCGUGCCGUGAGGUGUUGCCUUAAGUGGCGCAACGAGCGCAACCCCUUUCCUUAGUUGCCAGCGGAUCAUGCCGGGAACUCUAGGGAUACUGCCGGCGCCAAGCCGGAGGAAGGCGGGGAUGAGGUCAAGUCAUCAUGCCCCUUAUGUCCAGGGCUGCACACAUGCUACAAUGCGUGGUACAGAGGGCUGCGAUCCCGUGAGGGGGAGCGAAUCCCAAAAAGCCACGCUCAGUUCGGAUCGAGGUCUGCAACCCGACCUCGUGAAGUCGGAGUCGCUAGUAAUCGCAGAUCAGCAAUGCUGCGGUGAAUACGUUCCCGGGCCUUGCACACACCGCCCGU